AUGCAGCCUUUAUUCUCCGUGUGGCAGCUUGGCAUCGCCCAGCCGGAAGAAACCAAGUGUAAUCUACGGCGUUUUGGUUGGAGUAACUUGGAGCAAGCACCACAGCACAGCCAGACACUCAGGACACUUACAGACGCAUGGAGCAAGCACUUAUUAAGCUCCUCCUGUGUGCCAGGUACCGCUGUGCACAGAGUCGUACAGCAUUGGACAAAACCUCAACAGCUCUGCUCUUGGGAAACAGCUUCUCCUUAGAGGAGACAGGUGAAAAAUACGGAGGGAUGCUAUGCAAUUGUAAGGUGGUGAUGCGUGAUACAGAGAAAAAUAAACAAGGAUGCGGUGGCAGGUGGGGGAGUGUUUUAGUAGGGUGAUGAGGAAGGCCUCUCGAGAGGCCGGUCUUUGAGCAGGGACGGGACAAGGGGCGGGGGUGUGCCGAUGAGUAGGGGUGUGCCCGUGAGGUAGGACUGUGACCCUCCCUGUGGGAGGAACAGGAAGGUGAGCAUUGUGUUGGAGGGUGUGAGUGAUGGGGUUAGGGCUAAUGCGGUGGGGGCAGGAGUCAGGGUUGGGGAAAGCUG
rnacentral:lncRNA from 1 species